rnacentral:tRNA from 1 species
UGGAUAUAGCUCAGUUGAUAGAGUGCUUGUGUUGCAUGCACAAGGCCCUGGGUUCAAUCCCCGGUACAA